GCCUGGGUAGCUCAGUCGGUUGAGUGUCUGACUUCAGCUCAGGUCAUGAUCUCAUGGUUUGUGAGUUCGAGCCCCACGUCGGGCU
rnacentral:tRNA from 1 species